rnacentral:tRNA from 1 species
GAGGGAAUAGCUCAAAUGGUAGAGCAUGUGCUUAGCAGGCAUGAGGUCCUGGGUUCCAUCCCCAGUACCUCCA